rnacentral:rRNA from 1 species
CCCCCUCGUACCUUUUGCAUCAUGAUUUAGCUAGCACCUUCAGGCAAAGAGAACUUUAGUCUGAGACCCCGAAACUAGGUGAGCUACUCCAAGACAGCCUAUAAAUUAGGGCAAACCCGUCUCUGUGGCAAAAGAGUGGGAAGAGCUUUGAGUAGAGGUGACAAACCUACCGAACUUAGUUAUAGCUGGUUGCCUGAGAAAUGGAUAGAAGUUCAGCCUCCCGGAUUCUUCAUAAGCCAAGAGAGUUAUUCAAAGGGGGUACAGCCCCUUUGAAACAGGACACAACCUUUAAAGUAGGGUAAAGAUCCUAUUACCCAAGGAGAUUUGUUCUAGUGGGCUUAAAAGCAGCCACCUUAAAAAAAAGCGUUAAAGCUUAUACAUUUAAUACUGAUCAUUUAAUCUCACCCCCCUUAAAUAUACCAGGCCACCCUAUGCUCCCAUAGGGGAGACCAUGCUAAAAUGAGUAAUAAGAGAACUGAUUCUCUCUCUAGCACACACAUAACUCGGAACGGACCCCCCCCCGAACAUUAACGGCCCCAAAUAGAGAGGGAAAUGAAAAAAAACAAGAAAACCUUUCACCGUUAACCCCACACUGGUGUGCCCCCUGAGAAAGACUAAAAGAAAGAGAAGGAACUCGGCAAACAAGCCUCGCCUGUUUACCAAAAACAUCGCCUCUAACCCCCCCCCCCUCCCCGGACCAAACUAAAUGGACCCUGCUUUAAUGUCUUCGGUUGGGGCGACCCUGGGGAAUACAAAACCCCCAUGUGGAAUAGGAGCACUCCUUAAAACAAGAGCCACACCUCUAACUAACAAAACUUUUGACCCAAAUGAUCCGGCAAAGCCGAUCAACGGACAAAGUUACCCUAGGGAUAACAGCGCAAUCCCCUUUUAGAGUCCAUAUCGACAAGGGGGUUUACGACCUCGAUGUUGGAUCAGGACAUCCUAAUGGUGCAG